ensembl:misc_RNA
UUCACAUCUCUGUAAGCCGAGUCCUCCCCACAGAACAGGACUGACAAAGGCAAGCUUCCCCACAGUGCUCUGCCAAUAUGCCUCAACCCUGCAUUGGAGGGAUCAUCUCUAGUGGAGAGGGUGAAAUUUAGUCUCCAUGUCUAUUCAGUUGUCUUAUUUU